rnacentral:misc_RNA from 1 species
GAUGAAGAACGCAGCGAAAUGCGAUAAGUAAUGUGAAUUGCAGAAUUCAGUGAAUCAUCGAAUCUUUGAACGCUCAUUGCGGCCGCUAGUAUUCUGGCGGGCAUGCCUGUCCGAGCGUCAUUUCAACCCUCAAGCCCCCGGGCUUGGUGUUGGGGAUCGGCGAGCCUCCGCGCCCGCCGUCCCCUAAAUCUAGUGGCGGUCUCGCUGUAGCUUCCUCUGCGUAGUAGCACACCUCGGACUGGGAAACAGCGCGGCCACGCCGUUAAACCCCCAACUUCUGAACGUUUGACCUCGGAUCAGGUAGGAAUACCCGCUGAACUUAAGCAUAUCAAUAAGCGGAGG